CCUACGGGGGGCUGCAGUGGGGAAUAUUGCACAAUGGGGGAAACCCUGAUGCAGCAACGCCGCGUGAGCGAUGAAGGCCUUCGGGUCGUAAAGCUCUGUCCUAAGGGAAGAAAAUUGACGGUACCUUAGGAGGAAGCCACGGCUAACUACGUGCCAGCAGCCGCGGUAAUACGUAGGUGGCAAGCGUUGUCCGGAAUUAUUGGGCGUAAAGCGCGCGCAGGCGGUCCUUUAAGUCUGAUGUGAAAUCUUGCGGCUCAACCGCAAGCGGUCAUUGGAAACUGGGGGACUUGAGUGCGGAAGGGGGAAGCGGAAUUUCCCGGGGUGGGGGGAAAUGGGGAGGAGUUGGGGGGAACACCAGUGGCGAAAGGGGGUUUCUGGGUUGUAACCGGCGGUGGGGCGCGAAAGCGGGGGGAGCAAACAGGAUUAGAUACCCGGGUAGUC
rnacentral:rRNA from 1 species